GUCUCUCAAAAAUAAAACAUUUAAAAAAAAACAUUAAAAAUGAAUAAAAUCUUCUUAAAAAUAAAAGCAUAAUAGUCGAUUGAAAGAAAGGGCAUAUGAUCAAGCAUAACAAGUAACAAGUGUUUCCAAACCACUGAUGACAGUGACUAUGGACUGCGUUGUCUGCUCUUGUGUCCUGGGGCUUUGUCCCCUGCCUUGUGCUUAGGGCACACACUUCAGGGUAUCACCUCUCUACUUGCCUUCCAGAAGUUUCACAGUAGUAAUCAACUUAUUGGUGGUGUUUGGAGUGUGUGUGUAUGCUGCUAACUUCUACAAGGCUAACUGGAAGCUGCUCACAUGUUAUCAGCACCAGGUAUCCAUCAUGCAGGGAACCCAGAUUUGCAGAUAUAAAGAGGAUGAGCCUGUAGCAUUGCACUGACGUGUUUCAAUUAUACCCUUGCAGCGUAGACGCAAAGAUAGGCAAUGCCAAGCCCUGUACAAGUAGAAAUGGUAAGAACCACAUGGUUCUAGAAGAAAGCUCACCAAGUGCUGGGACAGUCGGAAAAGGCUCCAGAUCAGAGACAGGGCUUGCACUGGGCCUUCCGUCCAUCACAAAUGCUUGGUAAGUAUCCACUGUAUACAGGCACCAGCCAGAGUUUCGCAGACAGCAGUGAGCAAACCGGCAGCCAUGCCCCGUCGCCAUGUGUGAAAGGAGAACCAAAAGGAAGCCAGCACGCAAGACCCCUCGUGACUGAGGGAAAAGCAGCACCAGAAGAGCUCGCAAGGUAGAAGUGGACUGAGAAUCUACAGUCUGCCAGACACAGGUGGAGAAAGAGAGCGGAGGCUUACGGAGGAACCGCCAUCCCCACGUGAAUCAUCACAGCACAGCCAAAGAGCAGCACGUUCCAUAAAGCAGAGGGGCCAAGAGACGAGCCAGAAGGCCGGAGGAGGAGGAGACCUCUGACCUGCAGGAUCUGUACCAGGGACCACAGCAACCUCUGGGUGGAGAGCAAGGGCACAGCCCUGAGGAGGCGGAAGGGUGUGUCAGAGGCAGGAGAAGGCAUUUCGGAAGGCUUGCUGUGCUGCUGGGCUCCUCGCUAAGGGAAAUGGGAACCUCCAGGGCAGUUCAAGCAAGGAGUGAUAUGAUCCAAUUUAACUUAAAAAGAUCAACCUUUUUGCUGUGGGACAAAAUUGAAAACAGGGAGACCCAUUUGUGUCUCUUGCAGUGAAUCAGACUACGAUAAAGAUAGCUGGACCCAUGGUCCUCAAACCUUUUGCACAGUAUCUAAUAAACUAAUUUUGUGAAAACUUAUAAGCCCCCACGUUUAAGAUAAUGGCAAAAUUUUACAUUAUGUUUAAAACGUUAAAUUUUUAUUUUGAGAGAGAGCACGUGCGCGUGCACACGUGCAAGUGGGGGAGGGGGAGAGAGAGACUGAGCCACCCAGGCUCCCCAGAGACAAUCUUAAACAGGCUCUAUGCUCAGUGCAAAGGCCAGUGCAAGGCUCAAUCCCAGGACCCUGGGAUCAUGACCUGGGCUGAGAUCAAGAGUCGGAUGUUCAACCAACUGAGCCACCCAGGCACUGCCCCCAUUAUGUCUAAAUAAUUGCAAUGAAUGUAAUUUCCCAGAUAUAAAUAUUGACUUUUAAAAUAGAUCAUGACAUCAUUCCUUAAAUGUAUGAAAUGGAUCCCGAAUGCCAUUUUGAUUUGAAACCCACUAGCAUAUGUUUUUAUAAACAUACAAACAGUCUUCUUGGGUAACCAGAGUUUAAUUAAAUCCUUUACUCCUAAACUCAUUUCCGUUCAAAUUCUCCCACAAAUUUUAUCCUAAAUAACAAUGUUUAUGCUUGAGUAUUUAUUGAUGAACUUAUGAUUUACCUCUGGAGAGAGACACACACAUAUGUGCACAUUAAUUUGCAAUUCCUGCAGAUGUAAGCCUCAUAUUAAAAUAUUUCUCUUGGA